AUUGAACGCUGGCGGCAUGCUUUACACAUGCAAGUCGAACGGUAACAGGUUAAGCUGACGAGUGGCGAACGGGUGAGUAAUGCAUCGGAACGUGCCCGAUCGUGGGGGAUAACGCAGCGAAAGCUGCGCUAAUACCGCAUACGAUCUGAGGAUGAAAGCGGGGGACCGUAAGGCCUCGCGCGAUCGGAGCGGCCGAUGUCAGAUUAGGUAGUUGGUGGGGUAAAGGCCCACCAAGCCGACGAUCUGUAGCUGGUCUGAGAGGACGACCAGCCACACUGGGACUGAGACACGGCCCAGACUCCUACGGGAGGCAGCAGUGGGGAAUUUUGGACAAUGGGCGAAAGCCUGAUCCAGCAAUGCCGCGUGCAGGAAGAAGGCCUUCGGGUUGUAAACUGCUUUUGUACGGAGCGAAAAGGUCCUUUCUAAUACAAGGGGCUCAUGACGGUACCGUAAGAAUAAGCACCGGCUAACUACGUGCCAGCCGCCGCGGUAACAC
rnacentral:rRNA from 1 species